rnacentral:rRNA from 1 species
CUACGGGUGGCACCAGUGAGGAAUAUUGCACAAUGGGGGGAACCCUGAUGCAGCAACGCCGCGUGGAGGAUGACGCAUUUCGGUGUGUAAACUCCUUUUAUAUGUCAAGAAAAUGACAGUAGCAUAUGAAUAAGCACCGGCUAACUCCGUGCCAGCAGCCGCGGUAAUACGGAGGGUGCAAGCGUUACUCGGAAUCACUGGGCGUAAAGGACGCGUAGGCGGGUUGGAAAGUCAGGUGUGAAAUCCUACAGCUUAACUGUAGAACUGCACUUGAAACUUCUAAGCUAGAGUAUGGGAGGGGGAGAUGGAAUUAGUGGUGUAGGGGUAACAUCCGUAGAUAUCACUAGGAAUACCUAAAGCGAAGGCGAUCUCCUGGAACAUUACUGACGCUAAGGCGUGAAAGCGUGGGGAGCAAACAGGAUUAGAUACCCGGGUAGUC